rnacentral:rRNA from 1 species
GGUUAAUUAAAUAUAAUUAUUUUUAUAAAAUUAAUCUCGAAUUUAAAAGAUUUAAUUAAAAAUUUUAAGUUAAUGUUGAAUUAUUAUUAUUAAUUUUUAAUUAGAAGUGAAAUGUUAAUCGUUUUUAAAUAUAUCUAGUUUUUUUAGAAUUGAAUUAAAUUCAGCUUUAAAAUUUUAAAUAUUUUAUGUAAAUUAAAUUUUAUAAAUUAAUUAUUUUAGAGUAAAUAUAUUCGGGAUAAAUUGAUUAUAUAUUUUAUAAAUUAAUUAUUAAUUUAUUUUUAAUAGUAAUUAUAAAAUUAGAUUUCUUUUUUAAAAAUGUUUUAAUUUAUAUUUGUUUAUUAGAUUAAUUUAAAAUUUAAUUUUUAGUUUUAAUAGUUUAUAAAAAUUUAUUAAUAAAUGAAAUUUUAUUAAAAAUAAUGAUUAUAUUAGUAAAUAAUAAAUUAUUGUAUAAAUAAUUUUAUAAUUUAAAUAUUUAAAUUUAAGGAAUUAGGCAAAAAUUUUAAUUUUUAAAUCUAUAUUUACCUGUUUAUCAAAAACAUGUCUUAUUGAUUAAAAUAAUAAGUUUAUUCUGCCCAUUGAAAUUAAUUUUAAAAGGCUGCAGUAUAUUAACUGUACAAAGGUAGCAAAAUCAAUAGUUUUUUAAUUGAAAACUUGAAUGAAAGAAUUAAUAAAAUAUAUUCUGUCUCAGAUUUAAUUUAUAAAAUUUAAAUAAAAAGUUAAAAUGCUUUUAUUAAUUUAUUAGACGAUAAGACCCUAAGAAUUUAAUAAAAUUAAUUUAUUAUUUAAUUUUGUGAAUAUAUAAAAAAUUAAAUUAAUUUUUUUUUAUUGGGAGGGUAAUUAAAUUUAUUAACUUUAAUUAUUAAUUAACAUUGAUAAAUGAUUAAUUUAUGAUAAUAUUAAUAAUUAUAAGAAUAAAUUACCUUAG